CAGCAGGUUAUUGUUUUGACCGGAAGUCUGUGCGUCACUUCCGUCCCCAACGAGCGGGAGCGCACAGCAACAUUGGGUUGCGGGGGAGCCUGGAGCCUAUCCCAGGGAACUCGGGGCACAAGGCGGGGAACACCCUGGACAGGGUGCCAACCCAUUGCAGGGCACAUUCGCACACACAUUCACACACUACGGCCAAUUUGGAAAAUGCCAGUCAACCUACAACCCAUGCCUUAGGACUGGAGGAGGAAACCGGAGUACCCAGAGGAAGCCCCCGAAGCACGGGGAGAACCUGCAAGCUCCGCGCGCACAGGGCGGAGAUGGGAUUCGAACCCCCAACAAGCGAGGCAAAUGCGCUAACCACUAAGCCACCAUGCUCCCAUAUUUACUAAUAUUUUGGCUAUUAAUUGAAACCAAUAAAUAGCUUUUUAUUCCCACACGUCCCACAAUGACACUAUUGAUUUCUCAAUAGUGCAUUCAACACCAUCCAACCUGUCCUGCUAAGUGAGAAGAUGGUAUAAUGCAUGUUGACACCUCCAUGAUCUGCUGGGUCACAGACUACCUCUGAGACAGACCUCAGUUCAUAUGGCUGGGGAGCUGCCUGCCUGAGCAGCUACUGAGCAGCACUGGAGCACCACAGGGAACUGUGCUAUCCCCCUUCCCCUUCACCCUGUACACCACAGACUUCCAGUACAAGUCAGACCUCUGUCACCUCCAGAAAUUCUCACACGACUCUGCAGUGUUUGGGUGCAUCAGGGCUGGAGAGGAAGAAGAGUACAGGAACCUGGUAGACAAAAUUAUUCAGUGGUGUGGAAAGAACCAUCUACUCCUCAGUGUGGCCAAGACCAAGGAGAUGAUGGUCGACUUCAGGAGGCAGAGCACCACAACAAGAACAAAAAACAUCAUGGGACAGGAUGUUGACCUAGUUGACACCUACAGAUAUCUUGGUGUCCAAAACGACAACAGGCUGGACUGGAAGGUCAACACAGAGGCUGUGUACAGCAAAAUGCUGGAGAUCUUCUAGCAGUCAACAUCUGAUUAAGAAGGCUAGCUCUGUCCUGGGAUGCUCCCUGGAAAGUUUUGAUCCCCUUCAUGAUUCAUUGGUCAAACAGCAGAGCACCUUUAGUAAAAGACUCUUUCAGCUCCGCUCUUGCAAGGACCAGUACAGAAGGUCUUUUUUACAAACAGCGAUCACCCUGUACAACAGUUAUCACUGUGCCAGGACAUUAUUGUGCAUCGGACAUCUGUUUGCAUUUUUGCACUUUUGCACUUGGUGACAUUCUGUUUACUGCAUUGCUGCUAACUCACUAUACAUAUGCACUAUACAACUUAUUGUGGAUGCCCUGCUGAUAAUAUCUACUUUUCUGCAUAUCUGUUGUUCCUACUUGCACUGUCACAUUUACUCUUAGGACUGGUGUUUACAGUUAUAUUUACUUUAUUAUUUUUUUGAAUAUGUUUUACUGAAUAUGUUUAUUUUAUUACUCUUGAUUAUUUAGUACAAACACUAUUCUUUUGC